rnacentral:ncRNA from 1 species
AACCGAGACAUGGUGGUGGACGAUAAUGUUAGGAAAUAUGGAGAUGUCAUUGGGGGCCUAGGAAGAGUUAUCUUUUCUUUUUAACGACUUUCCCACCCUGAAAUUGGUUCAACUGGAGAUAGGGUCCAACACCUGGAAGAGCACCGCACGUCUUGCGAUGUUUGGUUCCUCCUUAGUGGCCAUUGAAAAUAUGGAGAACCGAGUACCAUCCAUGCCCGAUCGUACUCAUAUAUGCCUCCUU